rnacentral:rRNA from 1 species
GACGAACGCUGGCGGCGUGCCUAAUACAUGCAAGUAGAACGCUGAAGGAGGAGCUUGCUUCCCUGGAUGAGUUGCGAACGGGUGAGUAACGCGUAGGUAACAUGCCUGGUAGCGGGGGGUAACAAUUGGAAACGAUAGCUAAUACCGCAUAAAAGAAGAUGUUGCAUGAGAUUUGCUAGAAAGGUGCAAUUGCAUUACUACCAGUUGGUGCUGCGUCGUAUUAGUUAGUUGGUGGGGUAGAGGCUUACCAAGGCGACGAUACAUAGUCGACCCGGGAGGGGUGUCGGCCACACUUGGACUUGGACACGGCCCAGACUCCUACGGGAGGCAGCAGUAGGGAAUCUUCCGGAAUUGACGGAAGUCUUACCGAGCAACGGCGCGGUGGUUAAGGAGGUUCUCCGAUUGUAAAGCUCUGUUGUAAGAGAAGAACGAAUGGGAGAGUUGAAAGUUCACGCUUUGACGGUACCUUACCAGAAAGGGACGGCUAACUACGUG